AAACGCAGAUCCCGACCCUUCUUCCUCUCUUCCCCAACGCGACCUCCCUUCUUCCUCUCUCUAUUCUCUCGCGGAUGACUCGCCGGCACCGAUCCACACUGUCGCGUCUUCGCCGCCGACCAGGGGUACGGUUGCCGGGUUGUCCUCCUCAGCCAGUGGUGUUUCCGUGACCUCGAGGUCGUGGGAUCGACUCGCGGUGCUGCCCAAAUUGCUGGAUCUUUUCUUCAUCUUCUUCUCUUCUCCCAAGCGCCGGCGACGCUUGCGCCAGCCGUGCCCUAGAUCCACCGCCAGCCGCAACUCACAGAGCCGACCGUCGUCCCUCUCUGCCCUAACGUCGGAAGACGACCGUCUCCCCUGCGCCGAUGCCGUCUCUUGACCCGAGCAGUGCUAUCCUCUGUGCCGAACCCUAGUGCCCAACGCCGUCUUGCCGGCCGAGGUUCAUCUGUGCCCUAGUCUUUCUUCUCCAACUCAGCGCCGGCACCUUCCUCUCAUCCUCUGUGUGCCGAAACUGACCCAACGCCGGCCACCGUCUCUAGCUAGGCACCGUCGACCCCACAGUAGACCACCUAUUCCUGGGUUUCACUGCGGGAUGGUGCCCUAGUCAUCGCCACCUGUACUGCCGGAUGAGCUCCAACAGCGGCUUCACGGUCACAUACUCGUCAUCCAUUUACCUUUGUUUUGGUUGUGAGCUUGAUCUUGCUUCUACUGCCCAAUUGAUUUUCAGAUUUAUAAGGAACAGUUCCAUUAGAUCACUGAUGAGGAAUUCAAUUGGGCAUAUGGAAUGUGAAGAUUUUAGAUCGGUAUUGGGGAUAUUGAUAUAAGGACUUUGAUUCGAGACGGUGUCUCGACGAUGGAUCUAUUUCGGAUUGGAUCCUUUCUAUU